rnacentral:lncRNA from 1 species
CGGGUAUCCAGAAUGUUAAAUAGAUUAUGACAAAGGAAAUUGGCAGGUUUAAAUUUAGUUUAUUAUGACGGCGAUUAUAAGUAGCAUGACCUUGUUAAGGUCAUGUAAGUUUUCAGAUAAGUGUUCUAUUUAAUAACUUAAUUAUUUGGCUUUGUAUAUCAGUAUACAUUACGGAAGUCAAUCUGAGAGGAUCAUAACUGCACUUUACUAAAAGAAAAACAAACAAAAAUGGCGUCCAAAACAAAGUUAACCCAUUUCAGACGUCGAUAUCUUUCUGAAUCUGAAAUAUCUGUGAUACAGUCCCCAAUACCAUGUCGACUUGGAGAAGUGUACAGAAACAUUGCAGACACGUACUUCAAUGAACCAACCAGGGAAAACUUAUCGCACCAUAAAUCUUUGGAACUUGUGUUUAGUGGCAGCGGACGAAACAUACUGAAGAUGUUAUACAUGUUCUAUGUACUCAAGGAAUACACGUGAAAUCACACUGAUUAAGUAUUGUAAGAACAUAUACAUAUAAAUCUAAUUUCAUUAAAGAAAUGUACAAGAAAAACUGGUAACGAAUGAUACUUCUUGUUCUGCUAACCUGUCAAAUGUCUGAAAAACAUCAAUCUGAAGUUGAGGAAGCCAUAAUACAUUAAAUUGUUUAUGACAAUGCAUUAAAAAGUGUUGUAUAUUUAUAUUACAUGUUUUAAAAAGGUAAACUUAACUACAACGAUGAUAUGGUGGUUUUUUUUAUUUCAGAGUUGUGCAAUACUAAGCCUAAAAGAAUCUCUAGGACAGCCCUUACAGAAAAAGGAUAUAUCGUGAUAGAACGAAGAUUUAUUCAGCAGUGAAGAGCA